rnacentral:rRNA from 1 species
CACGUAGGGCGCAAGCGUUGUCCGGAAUUAUUGGGCGUAAAGAGCUCGUAGGCGGUCUGUUGCGUCUGCUGUGAAAACCCGGGGCUUAACCCCUGGCUUGCAGUGGAUACGGACAGACUAGAGGUAGGUAGGGGAGAAUGGAAUUCCCGGUGUAGCGGUGAAAUGCGUAGAUAUCGAGAGGAACACCUGCGGCGAAGGCGGGUUGCUGGGCUGACACUGACGCUGAGGCGCGAAAGCCAGGGGAGCGAACGGG